rnacentral:rRNA from 1 species
CCCUUAGAUGUUCUGGGCCGCACGCGUGCUACACUGAGUAAAUCAAUGGGUAAGGGAACACGAAAGUGCAACCUAAUCUUGAAAUUUGCUCGUGAUGGGGAUCGACGGUUGCAAUUUUCCGUCGUGAACGAGGAAUACCUUGUAGGCGCGUGUCAUCAUCACGCGCCGAAUACGUCCCUGCCCUUUGUACACACCGCCCGUCGCUCCUACCGAUUGAGUGAUCCGGUGAGGCUCUGGGACCUGGACGGAAAGAGCGUUUCGCUUGUUCUGUUUGGGAAACUUGGUCGAACCUUAUCAUUUAGAGGAGGGAGAAGUCGUAACA